rnacentral:tRNA from 1 species
GGAGGCGUGCCAGAGCGGCCGAAUGGGGCUCACUGCUAAUGAGUUGUCGCCCUAAAAGGCGACCGGAGGUUCAAAUCCUCUCGCCUCCGCCG